UUAUGUAACCGGAUUAGGCGAACGGUGAGUGACACCUGAAGCCACCUAUCAGGGAGGGGCUGCCCCUUCUUAAGCAUCGAUUGGCUGCGGUAUGUUAUGUGUCAUGUCCGAUGUUCCGCUUGGUGCGUGUUGAUAAUAGCAACGGGUAAGUGUUUGUUGUGUGUUUACGCUAGCAGCUCGUACUUUCUGUGCUUGGAUUUAAAACACCUCGGUUGUUGCUUUUAGCGUGUCUCUUGCCCUGUGUGUGUGGUGCCCUGGUUGCGCUGUUUAAGUGGAUAUUACGACUGCUCACCCUCAGUUGCCGGCGGCUGAUAAGGCUGUGCUGAACCCAUGCCUGUAGCAGGUUAUGUUUAUCAUACCAUUGGUUGGAGCUGGGGUCCCAACGGGUGGAUGGAACUUUCCGGUGGUGGUUUUCCUUUUUCAUUGUGUGCUGUUUAACACGAAGUGUGUGAUUUAUUUCAUUUGAGUGCACAGUGGUGUGUGUGUGCGUGCGUGUGUGUCUAUGUGGACCCAAGUCGAGAUUAAGAACCCCUCUAUCCUGUUGGGAACCUCAGCCCUGCUUAAUUUAUUUUUCUUUAACUUUCAGUUUUGUGUGUUUGCAGUGUGGUUGCCGUGAAUUGAAGUAGAGUGAUAACUUAUAUGAUUAACUGCUUAUUUUAAUGAGAUUAAGUAAUAAAACUAUUUUUGUAUUGUA